rnacentral:rRNA from 1 species
CGAUCGGCCACACUGGGACUGAGACACGGCCCAGACUCCUACGGGAGGCAGCAGUGGGGAAUAUUGCACAAUGGGCGCAAGCCUGAUGCAGCGACGCCGCGUGGGGGAUGAAGGCCUUCGGGUUGUAAACCCCUUUCACCAGGAGCGAAUCAAGACGGUACCUGGGGAAGAAGAGCCGGCUAACUACGUGCCAGCAGCCGCGGUAAUACGUAGGGCGCAAGCGUUGUCCGGAAUUAUUGGGCGUAAAGAGCUCGUAGGCGGCCUGUUGCGUCCGCUGUGAAAUCCCGGGGCUUANYNCCGGYCCUGCAGUGGAUACGGGCAGGYUAGAGGCAGGCAGGGGAGAACGGAAUUCCUGGUGUAGCGGUGAAAUGCGCAGAUAUCAGGAGGAACACCGGUGGCGAAGGCGGUUCUCUGGGCCUGUACUGACGCUGAGGAGCGAAAGCGUGGGGAGCGAACAGGAUUAGAUACCCUGGUAGUCCACGCCGUAAACGUUGGGCGCUAGGUGUGGGGUCCUUCCACAGGCUCUGUGCCGCAGCUAACGCAUUAAGCGCCCCGCCUGGGGAGUACGGCCGCAAGGCUAAAACU